rnacentral:lncRNA from 1 species
AUGGAGGAAAUUACACCCCUGUUGACUUCUGCCAACACAGCCCCUUUCCAUUCUGUAGAACAAAGGUUUACGAUGAGUCCCUAUAAAUCUCCUAAGAGAACUCCAAUACUCCCUUUCCAGGCAUGUCAUCUGAUCUCUGAUACCUUUGACCUAGUAAGGCUGCAGUAUUUCCCUGCCCUUCUCUUCAGCCAUAGCCACAGGAGGUUUCAACCCCUGCAUGCUUCUCAUAAGAUCAUCAUCAAUCCACAAAGAAGAAGAAGAGGAAGAGGAAGAGGAAGAGGAAGAGGACUUACAGCAUGCAGGCAGCACAAAAAAUUACACACCAGUGUAUCUACUGCACCACAGUGCCGACCCCUCUUAGAUUUUAAACAAGGGGGCUUCAAAAAGACCAUGGAAAAGUGA